GGCGUGCUCUGGUCCAUGGGGUCACGAAGAGUCGGACACGACUAAACGACUAAACAACAACAACAUAACAGGAGAUUGGCUAGGAAGGCAGUUGGACCCUUUGACAAGGGAGUCAAAUGUGUGCUAAAGGAGGAUAGGGAGAUUGCAGAGAACCCAAAACUGUCUUGAGUCUGGAGCAAUCAGGGGGAAAGAAAAUGGCAGCUGUACUGUCCCCAGAAUAAAAUAUUUUUUAAAACAAAAAAUGGAAGAUUCCCAAUGGUACUCCUAAAGAUUAGUAGUUGCCCCGAAUUUCACCAUCCUCCCAAAAACGAACAAGAAAUCAUGCUUCAAAUUAGAUGCCUGUAAAUGGAGCCACAAAUUUGGAGCAACAUUAGGUCCAUCCCUACUUAGGAUACAUUUUGGAUAAAUUUGUAUGGAGACCAUAUACAUUUUCACUGUCAGCUAAAACAUGUGAUGACAUUAUUGCAGAAACCAGCCAUGGACAGUCAGGUCACAAGCUACAUUCUACAUGUUCAGCAUACACACAAUCCCCCCACCCACACCCACCAUUAAUAAUGGUAUCUUUGUAUAGUCUUUAAAACUGAGUAGGGGCGAAAGUAAUUAUGUUAGCCUUUGGCAAUGAAAAGCCAGGUUUAUUUCAGUAACAACAAUUAAAAAUAUAUAUAUUUAAAUAAGUGGGCAAUACUCAACUGUUUUUCCUCUUUUAAAAGCCAAGGCAGAAAACACUGCGUUAUCUUUCAUUGUGGCUACCCCACAAAUGUCAGAAUGUAUCAAAGUAUUACAUUAAAAUGUAAGACAUUCAUAUCCACAAAGACGUGGACCCAAAUGAUCCUGCUUGUUGCCAGUUACAUAAAGAAUCUAGUCCUGCAAAAGCAGUCACAGAGUUGGGUGCUCUCCUUCCAUUUCUCUGGGUCUCUAGAGUCAGUUGCUCCAUGUACCAUCAAUAUCUGACAACUGUCACUGCUGGAAGCAAUCCCACUGAGAGCGGCUUGUCUUGUGUACUCCCUUCACAUUUGUCUAUCACCCAGUAAGACAAAUCUGAGCUUUUUAGAGACAGUCAUAUCAAAUUGAAAAUCUGUACACUAAAAGGCUUUUUAGACUACUACUACUAGAGAGCUACACGAUGAAAGGGAAAAUUUAGAAGCCUAUACAGCAGCUUCAGUUUCUUCUGUUUGAAGAUGGUGAGUACUACUAAACUAGAUCCCUGCCUUAACCUCCCAUCGCACAAGUGCCCAACAGAAGACUGCAUCUGGAAAAGGUUGGGGAGAGCACCAUCUCUCUUAAUUCAUGCCACCUUUUUACAUCCUGUUAUCAUGGGGCUCUGAGAUGGUGCUCAUCACAGUAUGACACACAGGUGCAAUAGCAUGGUUAGGUAAUUUUAUGCUCUGGACUUAAUUGUUUUACAAGAGGGCUACAUUUGAGGGCCUUCCUGUUCAUUAUGCCCCAAAGUACUGCCCUGCUAGUACUACUUCACAGAUGUAGUUUACAGAACCUUCCUGUAACUUUAAAUAAAUAUAUUGUUUAUUUUCCUAAAUAAAGCCUAUAGUAAAAUUAAGUAUCCUCCAAUACUGCCAUUCGUAUGUGUCUACUAUCCACUAUAUGCAGCACCUUGAAACAAGAUUUUGAUAGUGAAAACAUACUGAUGAGGUCUCUAGCUGGUUAACAGUAUUUAAAUUGGUAUGAGUUAAAUUGUUGUUUCAGAGAAGCAAAAUCACUGGGGUAAAACCUAUAAAAUAGAAUAUUUUACAUUAUCAUAAAAUUUUAUUGGGUACUGCUAUAUGUAGUCCAUGAAUCUUGCAGCAUAAAUGAUGCAUGCUAUUUCUGGGGGUGGGGGAAUUAUAUAUCUAUAGUGAAUUUCUUGUCAAAUUGUGCUGAUUAUGGCAGCUUGCCCAAAGCUAAAUUCAUUGUAAUAAAACUCCUGGACUGGAACAUGGUGCCAUUUACGUUAUUCACCACCUGAAUUGUUUUUGUAGUAUAUAAACCCAAAGCAAACAGCUGUCAGUUUGGAAACCUCUGAAGAGCUCUGUCGCUAGGCACUGCUGGGCUUUCUUGCUUCAAUGCUUUGAAGAACUUGUCAGCUGGUCCCUCGCAACUAGCUGUAGAGGCUGGAUCUUAAGCAGCUGAAAGCACUGGAUUAGAACAGCUUACAUCUUUUGACUUUGUACCGGAUCAUUGGAUUGAAAUCACUUUGAUAGAUGCUUUUGGAGGAUUUUGUGUUUUUCUGAAGUCCACAGAAUUAUAUGCUACGUUUCUUCCCUUUUCGUUUUCAGCUUACUCUAGCAACCAGUGUAGGAGUUGCAUUAGAGAAAGAAAACCUAGAUUUACUGUAUCAGCAGAGUAUUCUCUCCUCUCCCUCCAAAUCAACAAGGCUCAGGACGCAGCUAUUAAGUAUGUCUCACAAAAACAGAAUGCUCCUACAAAUCAAAUUGUUUAAAGUUGGUGUCAUAGGCAUUUUUUUCUAUAGGUGAGAAAAAAGUGAUGACUAUGCUUUGCUUGUAUUAAAAAAGCACAACAUGUGGAGGGCA